UCUAUACGGCUGGCUCUUAUAUUAUGGGU
rnacentral:piRNA from 1 species